rnacentral:lncRNA from 1 species
UCCAUGCGUCCAUCAGGUCAGCCCAAGCCGCUCCGUGACCAUUUUCGGGACAAUGCGAUGAAUCCCCUCAUCAACGACCACGUUAUCUGGCUGCCCUGUGACUCCUCUCCUAUUCCUCCAAACAAGAAGCAACGCGUACGUAGUUUUUCCUUUCGUCUAAACUUAUCCUAUGUCCAAAAAUAACGGAGGUCAACUGCCCAUGUGCCAUGUGUCCUCAAUAGCCUCCUCCAGGAAAUGUUACGUGGGAGAUGGUUAGAUUGCCUCGUCUGCACUCGAGCUUCCCUUCGCAGUGUGCCGAAGAAUUUUUUUUUUAAAAAAAAAAGACUUGAUGUAGGAGGCUUUGUCACCAAAAUGUUGGCCUCUCAUACACGUAUCCUCAUGUGCAGUCAUGGUGUGCUCACGUUGACUCGUUAUUUGACCAGUCUACCCUCUACCGACAUGCUUACUAGGACCUUUGAUUCUAUCCAAUGGAUCGCACCAAAACCAGCGGUCAUCUUCCCAAUUAAAGCCGAGAUAUUUAUGAUGAUCUGGGACCUAUUAUCCAAAAUUUGUAGUGCAAAACAUAAUGCUCAUUAAUUUAGAAGCCGGACGUCAUUUCUCGGAUCAGACUUUUUGGGUAGAAGAUCGGAUGGAAUAGGCGGCCUUGCAAAGCCUUCUGCAAACUGUGAUCAAUAUGACAUGUUGGAGGAUGUAUCUCAUGUACUUCUUAUUAUCAUUUAUAUAUGUAUGCAUAUAAUAUUUUUAAUUAUUACAGUAUAUCUUAUUUCCAGGGGUGAAUAUGCAAAAAACCCUAAUAAUCUACGUACGCUUACAUGAGGAUCAUUUGAAAAUAAAGAUGAUUAUAACUUUUAAAUUAUCAACAAGGG